rnacentral:sRNA from 2 species
GGUGCCACUCGAUAGCUGAGGCUCCUUCGCGGACACAAGCCAGCGAUCCCAAACGUCGAGAGACGCCCCGGAUCAGGACAGACCACCCCGGCCUAAGGGGUGAUCCCGAUUGGCUCCCAGCGGAUUCCGCCGGGUUACGACGCGAAGUGCCAAAGGUCUGACGAGGAGGGGCAAU